UUGGAGGGCAAGUCUGGUGCCAGCAGCCGCGGUAAUUCCAGCUCCAAUAGCGUAUAUUAAAGUUGUUGCAGUUAAAAAGCUCGUAGUUGAACUUCGGGGUUUACUUAUUGGUCAGGCUUAAUUGUCUGUACUGGUGAGAUGAAUCUCUACCUUCUGAGGAACUUUCAUGUCAUUUAUUUGGUGUGAUUGGAAAUCAGGGCUGUUACUUUGAAAAAAUUAGAGUGUUUAAAGCAGGCUAACGUCUGAAUACAUUAGCAUGGAAUAAUGAAAUAGGACGGACUGAUUCUAUUUCGUUGGUUUCUAGGAGCACCGUAAUGAUUAAUAGGGAUAGUUGGGGGCAUUAGUAUUCAAUUGUCAGAGGUGAAAUUCUUGGAUUUAUUGAAGACUAACUACUGCGAAAGCAUUUGCCAAGGAUGUUUUCAUUAAUCAAGAACGAAAGUUAGGGGAUCGAAGACGAUCAGAUACCGUCGUAGUCUUAACCAUAAACUAUGCCGACUAGGGAUCGGACGAAGUCAAUUUUAUAAUGACGCGUUCGGCGCCUUACGGGAAAC
rnacentral:rRNA from 1 species